UGGUGGGUAGCCAAGUGGUAAGGCAUUUCAUUUUAUAUCCUUAUUCACAACCUUGCCUGCAAAGGCCGAUGAAUUGAGGGUUAUCGAGACAUUCGCAGGUUCAAAUCCUGCUCCACCACCCA
rnacentral:tRNA from 1 species